AAACCCAGGAGGAAUCUGAAGUUGGCGCCCUAGUAUUAAUCUCACGUGAAUUUAUCUCCUGACCAGGUUAAAUAGUUGGCAAGUAGAAAGGAAACGAGAGCAUAUUUCAUAAAUACUGGGGCUUUAAUUUGCUUAUAUUUGAACCCAUUUGUGUGUAUGAACCUUGAAAAUAGCUUGUGAUUCAACAUCAAACGUUUUUGUGCAAUUGUCCUGCCAAGUAAAACUUGUUUGCUCUCCAUUGAUGUUCCAAUACCAACAAUUGAUACAAUCUGGCUAAACCUUAAAUUUCCAUUUGCUAUGCUCUUUGAAUGUUUUCAAUACUAAAAAAAAAAGACAGAAAAUAAGAUGGAUCUAUGAACAUGUUGGAGAGCAAAAAAAAAAAGGGGGUUACAUGCACUUAUUUGUGUAUUCAGUGAAUACCAAAAGGUUCUGACUCUGGCUGGGGUGCCAGAGUUGGUUUUAAACAAACUCCAAACAGCUUUUUCAAUAGCAUCUCCCCUCAUCAAGAACUCAGGUGGACGAGCUGUAGUAAACGCUGAAAGGGUCAACACGAUGGCACUUUCAGCAAAGUCUUUCAGCACCACCUAAUGAACUGCAAGGGGUUUUCCUGGCAACACCUGCAGGACUGUGGGAAUUCCUCAGUCACAGGCUCAGCAAAACUAGAAUCUGGGGCAGGAGAGGAGCAAAAUUCAUGGCUUGAAAAUGAUACCUCUGCCUGCAGCUGCCAACUGAAAGCUCAUCAAGGAGUGUAUUUCAGGCUGAAUUCAGAUCCCCUGCUUUUUGGUGAGGCCUUCAACAACCCUACACAGCCAUUCCCCCUCCAAACUUCUGGAGGGUGAGCUUUGGGUGGUGACAACUUGCCUUCAUUAUCCUCCUUCCUGCACCUGAGGAGCUGCCCACACAGGAGGGCCAUAAUCCCUGGCACUGUCACCAGGCAGUUUGAGAGCACCGAUAACAGCGAUGACAGCACUGGUAGUCCUUGUGCUGACAGUAUGCAUCCAAAGCCUUGCUGACAAAUUAGGAGCAAAAUCAGAUGUCUUCAGAGUGCAGAGCUCCCAUGAAGACACAAACCUGUUGCCAAACCCUACUUUUACCCAUGGAGGUUGGUAACAGGGCAGUGCCUCACAGCACUUUGUAUGUAGCAUGGAUAGUGAGUAUCUUAUGCUGUAUCAUGACAGAAGCAG